rnacentral:rRNA from 1 species
AGUUUGAUCAUGUGCUCAGAACGAACGCUGGCGGCAGGCUUAACAUAAGCGGUCGAGGGGUAACAGAGAGGCUUGCUUCUGCUGACGACCGGCGCACGGGUGCGUAACGCGUAUGCAAUCUACCUCUAACAAAGGGAUAGCCCAGAGAAAUCUGGAUUAAUACCUUAUAAAAUUAAGACAUCACCUGGUGUUUUAAUCAAAAAUUUAUUGGUUAGAGAUGAGCAUGCGUCCCAUUAGUUAGUUGGUAAGGUAACGGCUUACCAAGACGAUGAUGGGUAGGGGUUCUGAGAGGAUGAUCCCCCACACUGGUACUGAGACACGGACCAGACUCCUACGGGAGGCAGCAGUGAGGAAUAUUGGUCAAUGGGCGAGAGCCUGAACCASCCAUGCCGCGUGAAGGAUGACUGCCCUAUGGGUUGUAAACUUCUUUUAUAAACUAAGAAAACAUCUUAUGUAUAAGAUCUUGACUGGUUUUUGAAUAAGCACCGGCUAACUCCGCGCCAGCAGCCGCGGUAAUACGGAGGGUGCAAGCGUUAUCCGGAUUUAUUGGGUUUAAAGGGUGCGCAGGCGGAAUAUUAAGUCAGUGGUGAAAUCCUACAGCUUAACUGUAGAACUGCCAUUGAUACUGAUAAUCUAGAGUAUAGUUGACGUAGGCGGAAUAUAGCAUGUAGCGGUGAAAUGCUUAGAUAUGCUAUAGAACACCGAUUGCGAAGGCAGCUUACGAAACUAUUACUGACGCUCAUGCACGAAAGCGUGGGUAGCGAACAGGAUUAGAUACCCUGGUAGUCCACGCCGUAAACGAUGAUAACUCGCUGUUGGCGAUACACAGUCAGCGGCUGAGCGAAAGCAUUAAGUUAUCCACCUGGGGAGUACGUUAGCAACAAUGAAACUCAAAGGAAUUGACGGGGGCCCGCACAAGCGGAGGAGCAUGUGGUUUAAUUCGAUGAUACGCGAGGAACCUUACCUAGACUUAAAUGUAUAGUGCUUUUAUCUGAAAAGAUAUUUUCUUCGGACGCUAUACAAGGUGCUGCAUGGUUGUCGUCAGCUCGUGCCGUGAGGUGUCGGGUUAAGUCCCAUAACGAGCGCAACCCCUAUCUUUAGUUGCCAUCAGGUCAUGCUGGGGACUCUAGAGAAACUGCCUACGCAAGUAGUGAGGAAGGUGGGGAUGACGUCAAAUCAGCACGGCCCUUACGUCUAGGGCUACACACGUGCUACAAUGGUCGGUACAGAGGGCAGCUACCCCGCGAGGGGAUGCAAAUCUCGAAAACCGAUCUCAGUCCGGAUCGAAGUCUGCAACUCGACUUCGUGAAGUUGGAUUCGCUAGUAAUCGCGCAUCAGCCAUGGCGCGGUGAAUACGUUCCCGGGCCUUGUACACACCGCCCGUCAAGCCAUGGAAGCUGGGGGUACCUGAAGUCUGUGACCGCAAGGAGCGGCCUAGGGUAAAACUAGUAACUGGGAAUGGUCGUAACAAGGUAACCGUA